rnacentral:sRNA from 1 species
AAACAUUUUAAUUUAAAUCACACACAUGUCGAAACUAUGUCCGGGGUGCUUACUAUCAAAUUGUGAUAAUAGGUCGGAUUAUAGCGGUAUGUGGAGGCUCAAC